AACUUUCAACAACGGAUCUCUUGGUUCUGGCAUCGAUGAAGAACGCAGCGAAAUGCGAUAAGUAAUGUGAAUUGCAGAAUUCAGUGAAUCAUCGAAUCUUUGAACGCACAUUGCGCCCUCUGGUAUUCCAGAGGGCAUGCCUGUUCGAGCGUCAU
rnacentral:rRNA from 3 species